rnacentral:lncRNA from 1 species
UGAUUCCCGAUGAUGAACAAAUUGAAAAGCUGAAGAGCGGUAAGCGUGGUUGUUUUCUUCAUCAGCCUAUACUCACCACCACUGUAACCUCUCUCUCUCUCUCUCUCUCUCUCUCUCUCUCUCUCACAUACAUACAUACAUACAUAUAUAUAUAUAUAUGCAGUGCUGUUGAGUAUACAGGCUGUUGAUGAACGCCACUUGCUUCAAACCGUGAAUGAUUCGUUAAAAGCUAUGAGAUCUGAGGG